rnacentral:rRNA from 1 species
ACUUAAUAAAAGGUUAAUUUUAACUAUGAAUUGUAUUUAAAAGUUGUGAAAUUCUCUUUUUAUUUUGUUGGGGCGACAUUGAUAUAAGCUGUAACUGUCUUGAUAAUAAAAUAGUUAUCACUAUAAGCUGAUCCUUUUUUAGGGAUAAUAAGUAUAAGUU